rnacentral:rRNA from 1 species
AGUCCGGAAGGGAUAAACGCUGAAGGCAUCUAAGCGUGAAGCCCCCCUCGAGAUGAGAUGUCCCAUCCGAAAGGAGUAAGACCCCUUGAAGACGACGAGGUAGAUAGGGCAGAGGUGGAAGUGCAGCAAUGCAUGGAGCUGACUGCUACUAAUCGGUCGAGGGCUUGACCAA